rnacentral:pre_miRNA from 1 species
UGUAAACAUCCUACACUCAGCUAUAACAACUGGAACGGCUGGGAGGUGGAUGUUUACU